UUUAAGGCCUCACAGGGACCAUUUGAGCAUGUGUGGUGGCCACUUUGCUUUUGGCACCGCACAUGCUCAGUAAUUUUAUAAGCAGGCCAGCAUCUCCAUUUGUUAUUCCUAUGUUGCAGAUAAGAAAUUUGCUGGAAGAAAGUCUGGUUUUGUGGCAGAGUGCUGGACAGUGGAAUAUGGGGCAAUUGAAAUAAGUUGAGAGGGCAGAGAUGUGGCUACUUUUCAUGGAUGGGAUCUGUGGCAUUCAGAAGGAAAUCCUGUCCAUGACAACUGCUAGGCUAAACAUCUAAGCUUGGACACCUUUUCAAAACACACAAGGAAGACCUACCUCUUUGAACCUGGCCUGUGGGAGCGAGUGUGAAACUGGAAAAGAUAUUUCUUCUUGAUAUUUCGUUUGUGAUAACCAUGCUGAAUAGGAGGAAAACUGGAGUUCUCCCAGGCAGAUAGACUUCUGUCAGCAAAAUGGGGACUGUAUCCGACAACUAAAAGCACUGCGCAUGCCAAGAUACACAGCAACUCCUGAUGAUUACACAGCUUUCAAGUACAGAGAAUAAUGGCAUGGAAAGGGAGGUAUCAAAUGCAGAAUCCUAAAUGCCUGCUGGGCACAGUCAGUGUGUAUUUAGACUCCGGUGGGAUUAUUCCACACAUUCCACACAUACAGGAAAUAUAACAAACACCAAAAGCAUGUUGAAGAGUACAACAAGCUGGGGGACAUGGAGACCAAUUUAAGGGCUGUAAAAAGUCAGAGAGGGUCUAUGUACUGCCCUCCUAACCCCAACAGGUAAAAGGGUUGUGGCUUUUCCAUCAGCGUUAACUGUUGGGUGACAUCAACAAAUGGGAAAUAUUCUUAGCAGUCACUGGUGACUCAGUGACUACAAAGAAAUUAAAACGAGGUCAAUUUUCA